CCCUUAGAUGUUCUGGGCUGCACGCGCGCUACAUUGAUGCACUCAACGAGUUUACGACCUUGCCCGAUAGGGUUGGGUAAUCUUUUUAAAAUGCAUCGUGAUGGGGAUAGAUUAUUGCAAUUAUUAAUCUUCAACGAGGAAUUCCUAGUAAGCGCGAGUCAUCAGCUCGUGCUGAUUACGUCCCUGCCCUUUGUACACACCGCCCGUCGCUCCUACCGAUUGAGUGCUCAGGUGAAUAAUUCGGACUGCAGCAAUGUUUGGAUCCCGAACGUUGCAGCGGAAAGUUUAGUGAACCUUAUCACUUAGAGGAAGGAGAAGUCGUANCA
rnacentral:rRNA from 1 species